rnacentral:rRNA from 1 species
UACGAAGGGGGCGAGCGUUGUUCGGAAUUACUGGGCGUAAAGGGCGCGCAGGCGGCCUUAGAAGUCAGAUGUGAAAGCCCCGGGCUCAACCUGGGAAUGGCAUUUGAUACUCUGAGGCUGGAGUACGGGAGAGGAGAGUGGAAUUCCCAGUGUAGAGGUGAAAUUCGUAGAUAUUGGGAAGAACACCGGUGGCGAAGGCGGCUCACUGGCUCAUUACUGACGCUCAGGCGCGACAGCGUGGGGAUCAAACAGG